rnacentral:rRNA from 1 species
GAUGAACGCUGGCGGUAUGCUUAACACAUGCAAGUCGAACGGUCUUUUAGGAGACAGUGGCGGACGGGGUGAGUAACGCGUAAGAAUCUACCUUCAGGUUGGGGACAACCACUGGAAACGGUGGCUAAUACCCGAAUGUGCCGAGAGGUGAAAGGCUUGCUGCCUGAAGAAGAGCUUGCGUCUGAUUAGCUAGUUGGUAGUGUAAGAGACUACCAAGGCGACGAUCAGUAGCUGGUCUGAGAGGAUGAUCAGCCACACUGGGACUGAGACACGGCCCAGACUCCUACGGGAGGCAGCAGUGGGGAAUUUUCCGCAAUGGGCGAAAGCCUGACGGAGCAAUACCGCGUGAGUGAUGAAGGCC